rnacentral:rRNA from 1 species
AGCGAACGCUGGCGGCAGGCCUAACACAUGCAAGUCGAGCGGCCGUAGCAAUACGGCAGCGGCAGACGGGAGAGUAACACGUGGGAACGCGCCCUUCGGUUCGGGAUAACUCAGGGAAACUUGGGCUAAUACCGGAUACGCCCUUACGGGGAAAGAUUUAUUGCCGAAGGAACGGCCCGCGUCCGAUUAGCUUGUUGGUGAGGUAACGGCUAACCAAGGGGACGAUCGGUAGCUGGUCUGAGAGGAUGACCAGCCUCACUGGGACUGAGACACGGCCCAGACUCCUACGGGAGGCAGCAGUGGGGAAUAUUGGACAAUGGGCGCAAGCCUGAUCCAGCCAUGCCGCGUGGGUGAUGAAGGCCCUAGGGUUGUAAAGCCCUUUCAGCGGGGAAGAUAAUGACGGUACCCGCAGAAGAAGCCCCGGCUAACUUCGUGCCAGCAGCCGCCGUAACAC